rnacentral:rRNA from 1 species
GACGAACGCUGGCGGCGUGCUUAACACAUGCAAGUCGAACGGUGAAGCGCCUUCCUUUUUGGUGGGUGUGGAUGAGUGGCGAACGGGUGAGUAACACGUUAGUAACCUGCCCCCUUCUUCUGGAUAACCGCAUGAAAGUGUGGCUAAUACGGGAUAUUCUGGGUCUGUCGCAUGAUGGGUCUGGGAAAGAUAUUGUUUCGGUGGGGGAUGGGCUCGCGGCCUAUCAGCUUGUUGGUGGGGUGAUGGCCUACCAAGGCGGUGACGGGUAGCCGGCCUGAGAGGGUGGACGGUCACACUGGGACGGAGACACGGCCCAGACUCCUAGGGGAGGCAGCAGUGGGGAAUAUUGCACAAUGGGCGCAAGCCUGAUGCAGCGACGCCGCGUGAGGGAUGGAGGCCUGCGGGUUGUGAACCUCUUUCGCCAGUGAAGCAGGCCUGCCUCGUUUGUGGGUGGGUUGACGGUAGCUGGAUAAGAAGCGCCGGCUAACUACGUG